UGGCUAACACAGUGAAACCUGUUUCUACUAAAAAUAGAAAAAAUUAUCUGGGUGUAGUGGCACGUGCCUGUGGUCCCAGCUACUUGAGAGGCUGAUGCAGGAGAAUCUCUAGAACCCUGGGAGGUGGAGGUUGCAGUGAGCGAAGAUGGUACUACUGCACUCCAGCCUGGCAAUAAAGCAACUCUCUGUCUCAGAAAAAGAAAGAAAAGCGAGAACGGGGAAGAAAUUACACUGGGCUGACUGUGGCCCCAGUGUAAUUUCUGCCACAUCUCUCAGAUGACUGACCACUUCAACUUUCUUUUUCAUGAGAAGCUCACCACAGGCAGAUGCCAUGGAAGGACGCUCCUGAACCAACACAGUCAUGCUGUGAGGAAGUUCAAAGCAGCCACAUAGUCAGAUUACGGGAAAGCAGCUCAUCUCUGCUGUUUCAGCCUUCUCUGCCAAGGUGCCAAGUUUGGUUUCUGCUCCCAUGCUCUGAAAAUGUCAGACAACAUUGCACCAAAACUGUCUUCUGGGUUUCCAGCCUGCCAACCUGUUCUGUGGAUUUUGGACUGGCUAGCCUCCACUAUCACAUGAUCUGGUUCUUUAAUAUCUCUCUCUCUCUCUCUCUCUCUCUCUCUCUCUCUCUCUCUCUCUUUCUCUCUCUCUCUCUCUCUCUCUCUCUCUCUCUCUCUCUCUCUCUCUCUCUCUCUCUCUCUCUCUCUUUCUCUUUCUCUCUCAAGAAUCGCCCCCCCACCAACACACACACGAUCCCUUGGUAUCCAUAGGAUGGAGCUCCAGCAUCCCUUGCAAUUAUCAAAAUCUGCAGAUAAUCAAGUCCCCGAGAGUUGGCCCUUCUUGUCCAAGAGUUUCUCAUCCAAGAUCUCAAGCAGUCACAGAUCAGAUAUGCUUACAGUUGGUUGAAUCUGCGGAUGCAGAACCUACAAAUAUGGAGGGCACUCUGUAGACUUACACACAUCCCAUUGAUUCUGUUUCUCUGAAGAUCCCUGGCAACUGCAGAGUUAAACACCUUUUAAGUCUCUGGAAAUUAUCCAAAGGGGCAUACAACAAAUGAAGAAACAUUUAUUCUAGGACACCAGUAAAUGGUUGUAGAUAACAGCAAGAAUCUCUGGCAAUUUAUCCACAACCUCCUUCCUUGUUCUCCUCACCCCAAGCAGAAGUGACAGGAAGCUGUGUUCCAGACACGUGUAGCCAAAAACACAGGGCUCCAUCUUAUCCCAGCUCCCAGUCUCCAGCUAUAAAAUCUCCACAGGAGGGCAGGUCACCAGCAUUGGUAUCCUCCCCAGCUCCGUGGCAGAAGCACCUCAGCUGAGAGUGGCUGAGAGAUUUUGGGCUCCCUUCCCGUAAUCAGUUCACACUGUAGAGUGGAUGCUUAGUAGGUCAAGAAUACUGGACUCCAAUAGCCCUUGUUCCAGUUUGCUUGUAUAGUAGUUUCCGUGCUAGGGAAGGCACAUUGAGAAGAACUGUCUAUACCUCAUGAACAAAGCAGCAGAGAAGCCUGUAGGUACUGUCCUUGUCCCAAGCUCUGGAGCAGAGUUCUGAGGUUUUACACAGCCAGAGUGGUAGUCCAUAAAUAUUCCAAGAUUCCUUGCUGUCCUCAAAGAAACUGGCUUUACUUGAAAGAGAACAUGGGGAGGUUCGAGAGCUGUGGUCACAGUCAUAAACAAUGGAUGUGUUCAUGUAAGCAAUGAGACUGCUGGAUCCCUGAGAGCAACAAGCUGAACCAUAGACCAGCUGGUCUCAUAACAGACAGAACCUGGGACAGAGACUGCGAAGUGCCUUCUUGGUUGGAAUAAUCCUCAAAGACUGGACUUAAAGACUACCAGAGCAAAAAUGCCUGAAUUUAAUUAGAUUCUCUUGUAGGACAAUUAAUACCUCUGGAUGUUGCUGAAAACCACGGGACGUCAUUCUACAAUUAGUGUAAGCUAACAGCCAGGUGGAAUACCAAUUGAGGCAUAAUGAUGAACACAGAGUUGAGAGAAAGAGCCUUGACCUAAUCAUUGCCACAUGAGGAUGAAAAUGCCCAAGCCCGCACCAUCUGAUGGGCAAUGUCUGAGGCUGCACACUACAGAGAACAGACAUCACUGAAACAGUCCUGCCAAGGCACUAAACUAAAAAAGAAGCAAACAACAACAACUAGAGGAAGGGGAAUGGAAAUUAGUAACCAGAAUUGCUAUGGUAUAUUAUUGAAAGUAUCCAGGUUUUUUUUAACUGUGGUUUACACACACCUACACACACAGAGACACUUACCUGGACACACACACAGGAAUAAAGGAAUGUGUGAUUCACAUAGGAAAUAAAAUGGCAGGCAACAGGAACUGCCUUUGAGAGUGCUCCAGACAUCAGACAUGGCACACAGAAACUUUAAAUAAGCUAUUAUAAAUAUGUUUAGCCUGGCGUGGUGACUCACACCUCUAAUCCCAGCACUUUCGGAAGCAUAGGCAAUGAGUUUAGCAGUGAUCUUAAUUUUAGAACUAUCUUUGGUUACCUCAGCCCACGUCUCCUUGGACGUGGGCAGUGGUUCCACGUUGGUUCCAUGAUGGUCUGACAGCAGAGGACCACACCUACCUACUGCAUAUGACCUCCAGCUCCAAAGGAAGGCAUACUCAAAGCCCAGAGCUUUUACCUGCUCAGGCAAAAAUUCCCUGUUCUUCUCUGGCUAUAACUGUACAAUUUGUGGUAUGCAGUGCCAUGUAUUGCUUAGCACUAACUAAACUUCUAACUUCUAGCCUGAAAGACUGCAUUUGAUUUCAGGGAAUGCAUGCAUUAAACUAACUUUUCUCAUGACUACAUGAUAAAAUAAAAUGCCCAUUUUUUAAUGUUAGAAAUCAAUAAAGAAUGUAGUGAAGAUUUUGUCAUUAUUCACAUUAAAAUACAACACCCUGGCAGGUGACUUUUUUUUAAUCAAGAAAGAGCUCCUUGGGUAGUCAGCAGACUCACCAAACUGAAACUGUGUGGACUCACCACUGAAGUACAUGCUUGAUGUAAAAAAUGGUUUUCAUAAAGCGUUGUAAAAAUAUUCUCUUUUUUUUUGAGAUAGAGUCUCACUCUGUCGUUCAGGCUGGAGUGCAGUGGUACAGUGGCAUUCAUGGCUCACUGCAACCUCAACCUCAAAUAAUCCACCACUUACGCUGCCUAAGAAAUUGGGACAACAGGCAUGCACAACCAUGCCCAGCUAAUUAUGUUUUUAAUUUUAUUUUUUAUGGAGAUGGGCUCUCACUAGGUUGCCCUGGCUGUUCUGGAAAUCCUGGCCUCAAGUAAUCCUUUCAUCUCUGCCUCCCAAAGUGCUGGGAUUACAGACAUGAACCAUUGCACUCAACCAAAAUAUCUUUUUUUCCUGCAUCAGUUACGUAUUUCCAAAUUGCUUCCAAAUUUAUUUAAAUAUUUAAAAAAAUUUAUAUAAAAAGUUUUACAAAGUAAAAUAAUACAUAUAGGAAUAAACAAAAUUUAAUACACUUAUUUAUAUUAUUUCCCACUUCUAGUUAUGCUAUUUCUCAACACAUUUUUAUUGCAUAGUUAUAAUACCAUUAAAAUAAAGGGUAUUAAUUAAACAUUAAAAUGAAGAAUGAAUAAAACAUGUCCUGCAUAAAUGCUGUUCCUGAAGUCGUGCAUAUCAAUUCCAACUACCUUUGUAGCAUUUAUAGCAGUAAAUAUUAUGAUCAUGCCCACAAAUUUGAAGAUUUGCAUAGAUCAAUUCUGAAAAACCAUUAUUUACAAACUGUAUUCAACUGUUACUGAUUUCCAAUUUCAUUAUCAGCUUAAGGUUUUUGUAAUUUUGUCCUAAAGUCAUUCAGCAACCAACUUUUCAUUAUCUACCUGUAAGAAUAUUUCCACAUGAAUGUAUUUGACUACUCGGUAUUACGCGCAUGUUUGAGAUUUUGCCACAAACACCUCAGCUAGAUGGAUGGCAUACGACUCCCCUUAACCCUCCCAAUCAACAAGGAAAAUACAGGACUUGGUUGACAACAUACUAUGUGCCAGGGAAAAUGAUGCACGGUUUUUCUUCCUUCAGCUUAUAAAAGAUUCUGUACAAGAUAAUUUAUUUUGUUUUAAAUUAGAAACCCUAUUAUAUAUAUUGAUUUUGAAGAAAAAGUAAUGCCCACUACUUGACUAUUUUAACUUUUUUAAACUUUGAAAUGAAAUACACUCUUGGUUUCUAAUUAAAACUUCACAUUCUGUAAUAGAAAAUGAGUUAAUCCAUGAACUGAUGAACUGGUUGACAGCUUGGUGUCUCAGCAAUACGUGUUAUCUUCCCUAGGGCGGUUGCAGCAUAUACAAUAAAGCCACGAUUGCCUGAGCAUAAUUCAACCAAUAAAUUUUUACGAAUGGCAGACAGCAGUGGGUGCUAACUUUCUUUAUUAAUUCUAAGGUUUUCUUUCUGCCACAGUACUGUUAUAAUAUCAGAGUUACCAUAUAGUUCAAUAUACAUGAAAUUUUCAAAACCAAGUUUGUUUCACCAUAGAUGACCAUAAAUUAUGUUAAUGUCGUAUGAUGUCUCCAUUGCUUUGCAAUAGUAUAAAUAUUCCAUAAUUUCUAUUUGCAUUAGAGUCAGAUCUUCCUAGCUCUCAUUAUGUGUGGUCUCUAGCAAGCAUUGCGUGACAUCUAGACUGCUUAAUGGGUGCCACUUAAAGCCAUAGUGUACUAGAUUCAGAUCCUGAGCCACCUUCAAGCUGUGACUCAGGCCAUGCUCAAUUUUCCCAUCACCCAAACCUUGGCAGUUUGCUCUGUUCACAGCAGGAAAGAAUAACAGUUAUGCACACUGCUGCCACAGCUGUAGAGCCAGGUGACCGCUCAUGCCAGUCAGAAAUGGAGGAACUCCAAGCACAGCAUGCUCAAUGGGAACCAGCUGCCUCACCUGCAGUCUGUCCAGAUAGUCGGCCAGGGGACAAGCCUCUGAGGUCCCACCUUGCAAGAAGCUGCUCACAGGUGCCAGAAAAUAUAGUCCAUAGGAGUGAAAUUCCUGUGAGCAGAUUCUCUUCAAUGGAAGUCGGGAAAUUAAAAAAGCCAGGCAGAUGAAUUCUCCUUUCAGUCCCUCAAGGAACUGUUCUGAGAUGUAGUCAUUCAUAUUUCAAAGGACAAAUCAUUUUUUUGAGACAAGGUCUCAUUCCGUAGCCCAGACUGGAGUACAGUGGUGCGAUCAUAACUCACUGAAGCCUCAACCUUCUGGGCUCAAGUGAUCCUCCCACCUCAGCCUCCCCAGUAGCCGGGACCACAGGUAUGUCCUACUACACUGGGCUAAUUUUUGUAUUUUCUAUACAGAUGGAGUCUGCCUAGGUUGCCCAGGCUAGUCUUGAACACUUGGGCUCAAGUGAUCCAUCCACUUUGGCCUCCCAAACUGCUGGGAUUGCAGGUCUGAGCCACUAUGUCAGCCAGAACAAAUAAUUCUUGAAUAAGCCAGGACACUUCGUCAGAAUUGGAGGGAACACUGUUAACAAUUACACCGUGACAGCAAUAUAGGCCUGUUUUAUAUUUUCUCUGGGAAUUUCUAUGAGACCACCAUGCCCCGUGUUUGCUCUCCC
ensembl:lncRNA